GAUGAACGCUGGCGGCGUGCCUAAUACAUGCAAGUCGAGCGAACAGACGAGUAGCUUGCUCCUCUGACGUUAGCGGCGGACGGGUGAGUAACACGUGGAUAACCUACCUAUAAGACUGGGAUAACUUCGGGAAACCGGAGCUAAUACCGGAUAAUAUAUUGAACCGCAUGGUUCAAUAGUUAAAGACGGUUUUGCUGUCACUUAUAGAUGGAUCCGCGCCGCAUUAGCUAGUUGGUAAGGUAACGGCUUACCAAGGCAACGAUGCGUAGCCGACCUGAGAGGGUGAUCGGCCACACUGGAACUGAGACACGGUCCAGACUCCUACGGGAGGCAGCAGUAGGGAAUCUUCCGCAAUGGGCGAAAGCUUGACGGAGCAACGCCGCGUGAGUGAUGAAGGUCUUCGGAUCGUAAAACUCUGUUAUUAGGGAAGAACAAAUGUGUAAGUAACUAUGCACGUCUUGACGGUACCUAAUCAGAAAGCCACGGCUAACUACGUG
rnacentral:rRNA from 1 species